CUUGACAUGUACGGAAUCCUGCUGAGAGGUGGGAGUGCUCGAAAGAGAACCGUAACACAGGUGCUGCAUGGCUGUCGUCAGCUCGUGUCGUGAGAUGUUGGGUUAAGUCCCGCAACGAGCGCAACCCUUGUCCUUAGUUGCUACGCAAGAGCACUCUAAGGAGACUGCCGGUGACAAACCGGAGGAAGGUGGGGAUGACGUCAAGUCCUCAUGGCCCUUAUGGGUAG
rnacentral:rRNA from 1 species